rnacentral:rRNA from 1 species
CAGCAGCCGCGGUAAAACGAAGGGUGCAAGCGUUACUCGGAAUUACUGGGCGUAAAGCGUGCGUAGGUGGUGGUUUAAGUCCGUUGUGAAAGCCCUGGGCUCAACCUGGGAAUUGCAGUGGAUACUGGCAAGCUAGAGUGUGUCAGAGGAUGGUGGAAUUCCCGGUGUAGCGGUGAAAUGCGUAGAGAUCGGGAGGAACAUCAGUGGCGAAGGCGGCCAUCUGGGACAACACUGACGCUGAGGCACGAAAGCGUGGGGAGCAAACAGGAUUAGAUACCCCUGUAGUCCCUGUCUCUUAUAC